ACGCUGGCGGCAGGCCUAACACAUGCAAGUCGAGCGGUAGAGAGAAGCUUGCUUCUCUUGAGAGCGGCGGACGGGUGAGUAAUGCCUAGGAAUCUGCCUGGUAGUGGGGGAUAACGUCCGGAAACGGACGCUAAUACCGCAUACGUCCUACGGGAGAAAGCAGGGGACCUUCGGGCCUUGCGCUAUCAGAUGAGCCUAGGUCGGAUUAGCUAGUUGGUGGGGUAAUGGCUCACCAAGGCGACGAUCCGUAACUGGUCUGAGAGGAUGAUCAGUCACACUGGAACUGAGACACGGUCCAGACUCCCACGGGAGGCAGCAGUGGGGAAUAUUGGACAAUGGGCGAAAGCCUGAUCCAGCCAUGCCGCGUGUGUGAAGAAGGUCUUCGGAUUGUAAAGCACUUUAAGUUGGGAGGAAGGGCAGUAAAUUAAUACUUUGCUGUUUUGACGUUACCGACAGAAUAAGCACCGGCUAACUCUGUGCCAGCAGCCGCGGUAAUACAGAGGGUGCAAGCGUUAAUCGGAAUUACUGGGCGUAAAGCGCGCGUAGGUGGUUCGUUAAGUUGGAUGUGAAAUCCCCGGGCUCAACCUGGGAACUGCAUUCAAAACUGACGAGCUAGAGUAUGGUAGAGGGUGGUGGAAUUUCCUGUGUAGCGGUGAAAUGCGUAGAUAUAGGAAGGAACACCAGUGGCGAAGGCGACCACCUGGACUGAUACUGACACUGAGGUGCGAAAGCGUGGGGAGCAAAC
rnacentral:rRNA from 1 species